rnacentral:siRNA from 1 species
UGACUCGCGCUUACUAGGAA